UGGGGAUUCGUCUAGUGGUAGGACGACAGACUCUGACUCUGUAAGCAUAGGUUCGAAUCCUAUAUCCCCAGCCA
rnacentral:tRNA from 2 species